CUUCGGACCUGCAGUACUGAGCCAGUGUUAAAGUACUGUUGCUUUCUAAGAGAGGAAGGAGAGGAAGAACAAAAGUGGUACCAACAUGGAAAGGAACUGAAAAGAUCCCGCCUCCGCUAUUCAGAGGUUGAGCAGCCAGUCUCAGAGAAACAAGAGGACAUAGCAUCUGGAGGAAGACUCUUUGGGGCUGAGAACUUAGCUGAAAACCUAGCGGAAGGCAAAAGACAAAGAGGCAGCUUUACCCUUAACGUGCGAAGCAAGGCUGAUGGGACAUUAUGGUAUCUCCUAGUUAUAAAACCCAACCAAU
rnacentral:lncRNA from 1 species